GCCCCCGGCGAGGGUGUGCUAACGACCUGCUACCAUCACCCACAGGGGUGAGGCUGGAAGCCGUGGACUGUCCAGUGCCCAGCAGCGACCCCAGGGUGUUCUGGAAGGAUCCGAAAGUCAUCCUGCGGGGCAGCCCCACCUCCCAGACAGUUCUUCUGGGCCCUUGGAGCAGUGCCAGCCUUAAAUGCCGAUGAAGGAGGCAGCCAGCCACCCACACAGCCUGCUACUUAGGUUGGCGAGGUGGGGAGUCACAUCUUGCAUGUCUGGAGCCCACGGCAGGGUCCGUAAGGCUGGUGGAGCGCGCAGGUGAAGGAGGGAGUGAGGUGGGGCCUCCAGGG